rnacentral:rRNA from 1 species
UACGAAGGGUCCAAGCGUUAUCCGGAUUUAUUGGGUUUAAAGGGUGCGUAGGCGGCUUAUUAAGUCAGUGGUGAAAGACUUCAGCUUAACUGAAGAACUGCCAUUGAUACUGAUGAGCUUGAAUAUAGUUGAGGUUGGCGGAAUGUGUCAUGUAGCGGUGAAAUGCUUAGAUAUGACACAGAACACCGAUUGCGAAGGCAGCUAGCUAAACUAUGAUUGACGCUGAUGCACGAAAGCGUGGGGAGCAAACAGG